GGCGGGCGGAAAGGCGGGCGGCAGCUGGGGGCGGGGCUUGCGGCUGGUGUUAGCGUUCCGUUGCUGUCUUCAGCUCCGCGCCUUGGCCUCUUCAGAAGGGGUGCUCGGGUCUGAGGGCCGAAAAUCGAGCUUUGGAGCACAGUCGCCAGAAAAUCUUACAAAAAGACCGUCCUAAGUCAGUGCGGGCGUUGUAAAGCGGGCCGAGCCAAGCGGGGACCCUGGCUGGCCCAUGGCGGGGACACUUGGGGCUCCUAUACCGAGUCUUCGCGAUGGGCAGGACUUGCUUUGCUUUCUGCUAACCACACCGUUGGGAUCCGUCCGACCCCUUCCCGUGUCUUUGCUCCUGCUGUCUCGGAACAGCUCUGAACAUCCCGCCCCUGGGAACAGUGACAAUUGCUUGACUCCAAACCUGGAGGAUAAGAAGGAAGGCUGUUUAAUGAUAGUUGAGCCUGGGGUGAGAAGAGCUGCUUCCAAACAUAGCAUUGAGAAGUCCCCUGUGGGGUGUUCCUUUGUUCCGAACGCCUCUGAAUCCGCGGAGACCAGUCUAUUCUUGAUGCCUCUGAAAAUCUAUCAGGCUUGUCUUCCCUUUGAGGGGAACCGUCUGAUCUCCAAACACUGGCUUGCAAGCUCUUCUCUUUUUUUUCUCUUUGCGACCUACCCCAGCUUCUUGAUUCCUUCCCUUUUUCCUUUUUAAGAAACUUACAAGCUGGGCGCCUUCUGGUACAUGGUGUGCAAAACCUUCAUGAACUCGUGGACACAGAAUUGAAAAAACAAAAGCCUGAAAUCAGAAGCUGUGAGGCCACCAGGGAAGACUGUGGUUAUGGAUGGAACCUCAUCCUACAUCCAGAGUGGGCUGGAUCACAUCAGUGUCUCCAGCUGACUCAUCACCCUGCUGAUUAAUUCUGAGCUGGUGGAGGAAAGCCAGUCCAAGGAUGAAGCCUACGCACUGGGAAGGGCAGACCUGAGAGAGGCACAGAGAAAUGAAGUCAGAGCCCUGAGCAAGCUGUACCUGAAGCUCACACCACCUCUGGACUUCACAGUUGAAUUACUUUCUCAGGAUAAAUCUCUUGGUGGUUUGUCAGUUCCUGAAACUAUGUGUUUCCGGCAUUUUACUCUUCCCCUCUGUUCUUCAAAACCUCCAAGCAUGAACCUUGACACUUACAUUUUAUAAAUAGCAUAGAAGAAAACACUACUUAAGACUAAGAUCAAACAUUGAAUUCAAAAGUGAUAGGAAGGAUGGUAUCUCCUGUGAAACUCGUGGCAAAGAAUCUCUCCUUGGAGCGUCCCUAAACCCUCCUGUCAGCCCCUGAAACUGGACCUGUGCUAUCAGCUUUUUACCUGCUGCAAGAUCGGUUGACAGGAUCAACCACCUUUUAUACCAUGAUCUCCUGUCCCCAAGGGAAUGACUGAGGCUCUACUAAGGGACUAAGGGAAAUGGGAUACAGGACUUCAUAGCUUCCCUUGCAACAAACAGCCCAGGAGGCUUGUUUACAAUCUGUGAUUUAUUGGUCAGGAGGAGUUUUACAAUGGAGGAAAAAAGAAGAACAAUUAUUUUUUUUUAAGAUUUUACUUAUUUAUUUGACAGCAAGAGAGGGAACACAAGCAGGGGGAGAGGCAGAGGGAGAAGCAGGCCUCCCGCUGAGCAGGGAGCCCGAUGCGGGACUCGAUCCCAGGACCCUGGGAUCAUGACCCGAGCCGAAGGCAGACACUUACCAACUGAGCCACCCAGGCGCCCCAAGAAGAAGAGUUUACAUAACACAAGUAUUUUUGUUGGAAGGCAAGGAUUGGGUCUGUAUUUGCUUACUAUUAUAUCAGUAGCAACUAUUUUAGUGCCUAGCUCAUAAUAGAUGCUCAAUAAAAAUGUGUUGCAUGAAUGCAAGGAAAAGAUGAUAUCUACCCAGAGGAAAUUGAUAUCCUGGACAUCACCAAGACAUGGAGUCCUCCGGCCAGCCCCUGGGGCUGUGUGUCGCACCAUUGGCCAGCUUGGAGCACAAUGUAGCUUAUACUUUGGAAUUUCCUUUCCAAGGCCUUUACUGCCUUGAUUACUGCCCCUUAAAGCAACUGUUUCAGCUACCAGGUUAAAGGGGAUUUUCAGGGCAGAACCUCCAUUUCCUGAUCACUUCUGAGCUGGUCUUGACCUGGUACACUGCUCAGCUCCGUCACCCAAAUGCUCUGUUACUCUGGUCACCAAUACUGCAAUUCACCAUCAAUUGUGGUAUCUCUCGAACGAGGGGAUAAGCCUGCAUAUACUCAAAAAUUAUCUCUUGUUUAUCUAAAAUUCAAAUUUAACUGGGUGUCUUGUAUUUUUAUUUGCUAAAUCUGGAGAUCCCAUCUUCAGCCACCAUCUUAAUGCCUCUCAAUUGAGAUUCUAGUUUUCUGUCUUGGUUGAGACCAAGAAUUACUCUCACAAUUGGAAUCUGGCCAUCCCUCGGCUAGCAGUGCUGAGCAAAAGGAGCAUCCAGGCCUGGACGUUGAGUUGGGGCUGAAUUGUCUCAGGAUAACCGCUGAGACAGUUUCAGAAAAGAGAAGCCACCUGACAACCUGGAGAAAAGGCAGACAAGCAGGAAAUUACAGGUGAGCUGAUGGAGGAUGGCCCCUCCAUAUAAAGUAUACAAUUUGUGCUCUACUUGUUUUAUUUGUAAUCACACAGAAAGGUCAGAGAAGGACAAGGGACAAUAUUGUGAAUGCUUUCUCAGAGCUGUGGGGAAGAAAUGAAUGGCACUUCGUGGUAAUGAGGCAGGGAAACUGGAAAAAAACUGCUUUUUUGCUCCUUUUCCUGCUCCUCUUCUUGCGAGGAGCUGCACUCCUGUCCUACAUAUGGCUUAUAGUACCGAUGAUGUAUGUCCUUCUUAUAAAGGUCAAGGAGUUAAUUUAUUUCUUUGGAGUCUUCCAGCACAACAGAUAACACCUAUGAAGUGAUCAGGUGAGGUCAUUCUAUACAUUUUCCAAGACUGCUGACUCCAGACCCCUAGCUCCAGGGCACAGGUGACUUACAGAGGACACCAGAGCACUCCUCCUUGUUUUGACCUGUUCCUAGAUGCCUGAGAGGACACAUAUGGCAGACCACCAUCCUCAGUAAAAACCCCAGGCUGCAAGUAAAGAUGAGACUCAUGUUCCUUUUCCGUUCCAAAUGUCCAAGACGCUCUGGUUGUAUCUGCUCUCUCUGUAACUUCAAUAAACUCUGCUCUCACUUC